rnacentral:rRNA from 1 species
AUACCGUGGUAAUUCUAGAGCUAUACAUGCAAAAAUCCCGACUUCGGGAGGGGUGUAUUUAUUAGAUAAAAAACCAAUGCCUUCGGGGCUCUUUGGUGAUUCAUGAUAACUUAACGGAUCGCAUGGCCUUGCGCCGGCGACGGUUCAUUCAAAUUUCUGCCCUAUCAACUUUCGAUGGUAAGGUAUUGGCUUACCAUGGUUUCAACGGGUAACGGAUUUUUAGGGAAAGAUCCCGGAGAGGGAGCCUGAGAAACGGCUACCACAUCCAAGGAAGGCAGCAGGCGCGCAAAUUACCCAAUCCCGACACGGGGAGGUAGUGACAAUAAAUACUGAUACAGGGCUCUUUUGGGUCUUGUAAUCGGAAUGAGUACAAUUUAAAUACCUUAACGAGGAACAAUUGGAGGGCAAGUCUGGUGCCAGCAGCCGCGGUAAUUCCAGCUCCAAUAGCGUAUAUUAAAGUUGUUGCAGUUAAAAAGCUCGUAGUUGAACCUUGGGCCUGGCUGGCCGGUCCGCCUCACCGCGUGUACUGGUCCGGCCGGGCCUUUCCUUCUGGAGAACCCCAUGCCCUUCACUGGGCGUGGCGGGGAACCAGGACUUUUACUUUGAGAAAAUUAGAGUGUUCAAAGCAGGCCUUUGCUCGAAUACGUUAGCAUGGAAUAAUAGAAUAGGACGUGUGGUUCUAUUUUGUUGGUUUCUAGAACCGCCGUAAUGAUUAAUAGGGAUAGUCGGGGGCGUCAGUAUUCAAUUGUCAGAGGUGAAAUUCUUGGAUCUAUUGAAGACUAACUACUGCGAAAGCAUUCGCCAAGGAUGUUUUCAUUAAUCAGUGAACGAAAGUUAGGGGAUCGAAGACGAUCAGAUACCGUCGUAGUCUUAACCGUAAACUAUGCCGACUAGGGAUCGGGCGAUGUUUCUAUCUUGACUCGCUCGGCACCUUACGAGAAAUCAUAAGUUUUUGGGUUCUGGGGGAGUAU